AUGAAACCAGUGAGCCACAUCCACAGUGGAUUUUUGAGUAUGUCUACUCUCCACCAUGUCAAGUCUUCUGCAGCCCUUCUGACAGCCCCUGAGAGCCAGGAGAAAAGCAUCCAGUGACUGAGGACCCAAGGGACUUGAAGGAAUGCAGUUACAUUCUGAAAUUUGGCAAGCUUCAUUUUUCUUCUGACUAGCCCCGUCUCUUCUAUUUCCACACCUUGAUCUUCAAUAGUUUUUCAUUAUGUGAAAACUAUUGCAUAGACACAUUAAGCAGAAAGAAUGCCAGCUGUUUCCUUUCUGCCUGAUUCUGGGCAGUUCUUUGGGUCUUGAGAAGAGAGAGAAUUUUUCCUGGGUUUCUGCCUGAUUCGUGAACUUUCCCCUGCUUUGGUUCAGCAGCUCUUAGGCAUAUCCGCCUUCCCGCUUCCUAACCUCAGGCUUUCCUUUGACUACAAUAGUCAAGGUCAGGUGCAAGGUUCUGUCAUG
rnacentral:lncRNA from 1 species